ACUCCUACGGGAGGCAGCAGUGGGGAAUAUUGCACAAGUGGGCGCAAGCCUGAUGCAGCCAUGCCGCGUGUGUGAAGAAGGCCUUCGGUUGUAAAGACACUUUCUAGUCGUGAGGAAGGUAGUGUAGUUAAUAGCUGCAUUAUUUGUACGUUAGCGACAGAAGAAGCACCGGCUAACUCCGUGCCAGCAGCCGCGGUAAUACGGAGGGUGCGAGCGUUAAUCGGAAUUACUGGGCGUAAAGCGCAUGCAGGUGGUUUGUUAAGUCAGAUGUGAAAGCCCGGGGCUCAACCUCGGAAUAGCAUUUGAAACUGGCAGGACUAGAGUACUGUAGAGGGGGUAGGAAUUUCAGGUGUAGCGGUGAAAUGCGUAGAGAUCUGAAGGAAUACCGGUGGCGAAGGCGGCCCCCCUGGACAGAUACUGACACUCAGAUGCGAAAGCGUGGGGAGCAAACAGGAUUAGAUACCCUGGUAGCGACUGAUAGUCGUGGGGAAC
rnacentral:rRNA from 1 species